CCCAGCAGCCCGAAGCCCAAACCAGCCGCAGCUCCAGGGAUGCCUUAGACACCAGGGAGGAGCGUUCACCCACAUUCACCCUACAUGAUGCUCUGCUCAUUUUCUGGCUGGCAAAUCGCGGGUCUCUGGCCCUGGUGAAAGUUCGCGGGGAAUUUCCUGAUCUGCUCACUAUAACGUGAACCCAGGAGCGGGGGCUAUAUGGGAAAAAAAUCCCACCUCCAAAAGCCAUGAGAGCCUGGCCACGAAGGAGCUGCCAGCAGGACCUGUCUUGUGGGACCCUCAGCAGAAGCCCCUCGCCAUGGCUGAUCCUGCAUGCGCCACCCUCCUCCUCCUCUUCCUUCUCCUGCCAGCAGACCCUGGCCUGGAACACAACGUAGAUUGAGAUUUGCACCAGCAUCCAUCCAGGCUGCUCAGGGCUGCCGGCCAGCACGCGCCUUCAGCGUGGGGACACCAGCUCGGCUUUGGGGACGGAUGGGGUGGAGAGGACACCGGGACGUCCCCGUCCCGCCACUGCGCAUCGCCCUGGGGGCAGCUCGAUGCCUGAUGUUGCCUGGUUGGUUGUGGGUGUGAAGGGACCUCCUGCACGUCUGUCCCGCUUCUUCUGGGAGUCUCUGUGGGGUGAACCCUCCCUGCUCGGUGGAUCCCGCUGUCCUGUUUUGCAUGGGAACGCAGGGAUGGCAGCGAUGGAGCCUGGUCCGGCCCCAGCCAUCGCCGGGCAAAACCUUGUGGGACAAGCUGAACUGAGUCGUUGCUGCCAUCGGCUCUAGAUGCAAAAUGUUCCCGGCCUUGAGCCACAGAGAGGAAAAAGGAGCAAAAGGGCCUUUUCUCUGAAGAACAGAAGAAGGAGGAAACGUCCCACCUCCAGCCCAGGAGCCGUUUCUCCCCGAUCCUGGGCACCAUCAGCGUUGCUGAGGGACCACGGUCACGGUGCGACGGACAACUCCAGUGCCCGGGUGCUGGAUGCUCAGGCAGCAUUUUGGGCAGAAAACAGGGAUGCUGUGGCACGAAGGAGAUGCGUUUUAGGGGACAGGAAAAAGGUGAGGGGGCUGGUAGGUGCAAUGCCACCACCUCUCCCUUGUGCCACCACCGUCCCCAUGCCCAGGGAUGCCCACCAGCACCCCGCAAGCACUCGGGCUGUGGGAGCAGAGAAGAGGGCAGCAUCCGUCCCCUUUUUGUCGCCGCCGUGUAAUUUAUGAUAUGAGAGAGGGCCAUUGUCUGGACCCAUCCUGUAUUUUUCCGAGGGCUUUGCCUCUCUUCCCAGACCCCCGCUGUGCUCCUGCUACUGUACCGUUGCUAUGGGACGUGCUCCCCGCGCCGCGGCUAUGCGGGGCAGUGCCGGGGAGGGCUGCCCGCCGCGGCCGGACCCAUCUGGAGCCCCGAGCCCUGCUGCCGGCAGCCCAGUCGCUCGGCGGCCCCGCUGACGUGCCGAGGGCCUGGGAAUGGGGCUUUCGGCCCCUCCAAGUUCACGGCCACCGGAGGCAUUCAGCUGCCGGAGUGGGGGGGCAGCGGGAUCUGGGGCAUUUGGCUCCAUUCUCCCUUCCCUUUCAGUGCCGGCAGUGUCCUCGGCGCAUACAGAUCCCCCGUCCCUUUCUCCUCCUGACAAGUGCGCACAUAAAUAAAUUACCCCACCGGGCGAGUGUGGAACAAUCUGUCCCCUAAAUUCUAUUCAUCGCCAGACAGGACCCAUUAUUCCCCCGAUUAAAGCCGCUGGAGUAGCUUGCAAGGGUUACAGUUACUCUGUCAAACUGUAAAUAAGACACUAAAAAUAAAGGGCGCUGGCGAGAGAAGGGGGAAAGGGAAGCCAGACUAAUGCCUGCUGCUAGGGAAACCGAAUGAAUCCCUAAUGACGCCUGUGUACAAACUGCAAAUAAUGAAGGAAAAGUGACAAACAGACCUCGGCCGGGCUGCGGCGGGGUCCUCGCUCCGCGGCGGCGCUGGGGAUCUGCUCGCCCCUUCCUCUGGAGAGAGUCAGCAGGGAGCGGGACCCCCUUCCCGCAGCCCUCCGAGAAGAGCAUCUAAGCCCUUGUUGCUUAACUUAUGGAAAGGUUUAGGUCUUGGGGAUGUGUUUAUUUUCCAGGCACAGAAGUCUGCUCCAGCCUGCAUCCCUUUUUGAGGUCGUACAGGGAAACCCUCUGUCACCUGUGGCCUCAGGGCAGCGAGCGAAGAAGCAGCCCCCAAAAACUUUAGUUUGUGCUCUGUUGCUGGGAGCAGUGCAGGGGCCUCUGAUGUAGGACAGAGCUAGAACCAGGCUGGAGUUUAAGUCUGCCUGCCCAGAGCCUGUCCUGCAGCAGCAGUAGGUUAUUGGAGACCCAGAGCUCAGACCUGGGUCUGCUCCUUGGUGCUGCCUGUGCCCAUGAUAGAUUGCAGGGAGGAACAUCUCCAGGCCUGGAGAGCUUUGUUAUCUUUGGAUAAAAUCCAAUUCCUUUUUUGCUGCUCUUCUACCAGCCAACAAAGACGGGGAUGUUCACCUCGCAGUGGAUCCUUCUUUUCCUCCUUCUGUACCUUAGAGCUGAAGAGGCAAAGCAAAAAAUUCUUUGUGAUGGGCUCAUCUUGGGUUUUUCUCAGUUCCGGAGGGGCUGAGCUGUGCGAGUUUGAUUUCAGGUCCAGCUCGAUCUAUUCCCAUCACCUGCAAGGGGCUAAAUGCUGGAAUGCUCCCUGUGUUGCUCAGGGAAAUAUUAUUUUGAUUCAUAUUAUGCAAGCGUGCAAAAGAUUCCGCAAAGAGAGCUCGGAGCUGGCCCUCUCCGGGCGGAUGCUCCCUCUCUAAAGGAGAACCCCAAGGGGGGGGGGGCAUGCAGUACUGGGGACACAGCAGAUGUGUCACUGGGCUGGAAACUGAGCUCUCAUCCCCCGGGUCUGUGCGGAUGCCACACUGCACAUCCAUCCUCCUGCACAGCCCAGCAGUGCUGGGGUGAUUCUGGGACUUUAAUCUGAAAAAAAAACCCGAAACAAAACAGCAAGGAAGGGCAUAACCCAGAGCAGGGGAGCAAUGAGGUGCCAAGCCCUGCCCUGCGGCGUGGGUGCUGCUGAGCUUGGCACUCGCCCCUUCUCCCACCCGCAGCAAAAUCGCGAGGGUCCUUGCGCGGGUCGAGAGGUUUUUAGAGCUGUGCUCUGGUUUGGUGCUUUCACAAAGCUCAGACAUCUUAAAAGGGAUUUUUCAGGAUGGCUGAACUAGCGUGGAGCCCAGUUGCAUUUCCCAGUCAGGUCAAACCUGGGUUUAGCAGAUUUCUUCCCUUUCCGUCUUAGGGAAAAAAAAAUAAAAAUACCCUUUUCACCCCCAGUUCCUGGCUGUGAAGCCUCAUGACUCCACAGCAGCAUUCCUGGGACGUUCCCGACGCGGGGUGGUAUGUGCAGAAUUUCAAACAGUGGCACAUAGCUCCACAUCUCCCCUGCGCUCCCCCAGCUGCACUCAGUCAUCUGGGAGAAACUCCAGGAAUUAUUGUUACUCCUAGUAGUAGUGAUGUCUGGGUAGCACCCGUAGACCCGGGUAGGUGUGUGUAGGUGGUGAUGAAGGAAGAUAUGUGCUCCUGUCUCCCCCUCCGCCUCCAAAAUUUACCAGUUGAGUUGGAAAAAGAGAGCAAUUGGGAAAAAAUGUCUUGUAACCAGCCAGGGUUGAGCAAGUCAAACCCAAAGUUGGGUUGUCCCGGUGCUCCCCUGUCACACAAAUAGGCAGCUCGUCACGAAACCUGCUCCCUGGAGGUUGCCUUUGAGGAGUGAUGGGCUUAGAGCCCCCAGUCUCAUCCUGGGAGAGGGUUCUGCUCCCUUGAGCUUCACUCCCUUGCUGGGAAUGGCUUUGCUUGAGGACCUGGGUCCUGGGAGCAGCUUCAGUUCCAGGAUACACUCAGGAGUAUUCAUCUCCCCUCGAGACAACAUCGAGAACAGCAAAACUUAAUAAAAAUUAACUUACUUGCCUGUCCCCGCCUGAAUCUCUUGGCUCAUGGUUUUCAAGGUUUCUCUCAACCUGUAAAAAUAUGCUUAUUGCUAUUUUUUAAAAAUGAAAGCUAUGAUUCCCCUCCACGUUCAUCACCUGGCUCCAGAAACUGGAGAUUUAACGUGGUGUUUCAUGAGACUGGCAGUUGUUGGCCCUCGAGCAAAGCACAUCCUGACCAGCUUUGCCCUACAGCCGCCUGGAGAGACGAGGAAAAUCAGACAGUCCUUGAUAUUAAAUAUCUUUAUAUCAGUUCUGAGAAGUUCCCGUGCCUACCUGUCACUCUUUUUUUUUCCUCAAAAUGCCUGAAUGUAAUUUUUUUUUUUUUUUUGGUCUAUCUAUGGAUGUAAUCUAGCUGUGCCCAUAAAGCACGGGCUGGCAGCUCGCUCUUCUCUUACCUGGGCAUUCAGAGAUUGCUCAGCAAGGCCCCAAGGAGGGCUUGUGGAGGGCGAGUUCCAGUGACACCACCGCCAGUCCCCUUUCCCUUUCCAAGGAUUAGGACGGGGCAAAUACCUUCACUUUGGUUUAGCUCUAAAUACCGGAUUCGGAAGGUGUUUGCUGGCACGGCGUGCACACAUGCUUGCGAUAAUAGCCAGGUAGCUUGCAUGGCUAAAUCACUUGAUUUUAUUUUUUUUUAAAUUUUUUUUUUCAUUAUAACCUCCUUUUAAAGCACGUUUAAAUGCUUCCCCGCAGGCUCAUGCGAGGGCUGUUAAGGGCUUCAUUUGAAUAAAUAAGUGCAUAGGUACGGGAGGAACAUCACCACAACCCCCUGGAACCCCCAGCGCCAGAGAUGGCAUCAGAGAACUGGCAAGUGGGAGAAGGGGCUCGAUGUUAUAUAUUCCAUAAAGUAGAGUAAUUAAGUAUUACUAGUUUUGAUGACUUCAAACAGAGUGACUCCAGGAAAUAAGCCCCUUCUUUAUAAUUAGUGGGAUUUCCUCUGCAUCAAACGGAGAGAUUGAUUCUUUAAUCUGCUCACAUGCUUUUGAUUUGGUCUUUCAGCUGCUUGUACCAACUGCUUCUACUCCCUGCUCUUGCCGAUAAAACCUUGCAAAGGAGAUUUGAGGAAGGCAUGACCUGAGUUGAGGUCUAGGAUUUUCUUUGUGUGUGGCUGUUUUGUGUAUUCUUAAUUUGCCCGAGAUGAUGAUCGCGAUGAUAGCAAUAAUAAAAAAUAACAGACGCAGAUUUUUUAUUUUUUUUUUUUAACAACCCCAUAUGUUUAGGUCAAAUAACUGGGGGGAUGUGUGGAUUUCUGUUAUUGCUUUCUCUUCCCAGCACGCUCGUUAGCUCUGGUGCAUGUUCUUUAAGACCCGCAAAGAUCAUUUUGGCUACCUGUCCGCAAUAACCCUGAGCUGUCCCAAGUGGAGCUUACUGCAAAACCUUGCACAAACCUAACGUUGGGCUCUCGGCAUUUUGAGGACUCGGUUAAAAUACGGACGGGAUUUCUGAAGGACUUGGGAUGCCUGGAGGGAAGAGGCCCCUUUUCUAGAGUAUUUCAAGGAUUUAGGACUAAACCCAGGAACUUUGGAAGCCCAAACGUUGCUGCUUUCCAAAUGAAGAGCUCAGGAGGGAGCAGGAACUUGCCCCCCUGCAAGUGCAAGAAGCUGAUGGUGAGGAACCAGCUUCUCCCUGGGCGUCUUCGCGGGGCUGGUGGCACCGUGUCAGUCGUAGGGGAAAUGUAGUCUGGGGUCUGUGCCGGUCCCAGGCACAGCCUGAACCUGCUCUGUGCUACCCCCAACCUCCAAAACAGCCCAGAUCUUGAGUCAUCCCAGGAAACAGCCCCUGGGUUGGAUUUCUUUCUUGGGUGUGAGGUUCUUCUGGGACCUCUGAGGAGGGGGAAAAAGGGGGAAAUCUGGGACUACGUUGUCUCCCAUCCACCUUUUGGUCUUGUUGGAAACGUGCAACACGAGCAAGAGAGAGGCUCAGGGUGUUGCACCUCAACUGAAUCCCUUUGGGUGAAACCCAGAGGACGACGGCUCUGCAGGGGGGCUUUGAGGUAGCUGUAGGGCAGGAACUGGUACCCCAACCCCAACCCCUCUGUUCUGGGGCCAGCAUCCUCCUCGGCGUGCGUCUCGCACGCAAACGGGGUGGGGAGGGCAAGCACGGGGCUGUGUCCACUGCGAUUUGGGGGUCACAAGCCUGCCGGGAGGAGCUGUGGGAAGGGGGUCGUCCCUGAGCUCACCUGGAGCCAGGAUCAGGCCCGGGGCGUGGGGGAUAACUGGCGAGGAGCUGGUUUAGUAUGCCCCUCGCAAGCCUCGCCUCGUCUGGAGCGGUGUCGAACACAGAUCGUAUAAUUAGAGACCCGGUGAAUACGUAACUGUACAAUUAUGCAAAUAGUGAUCAAAAUCACUGUUUUCAGCAGAAAUGCCUGAAGAUCAAGACAGAAGCUUCAUGCAACCUUAAUUUAAUCUGGUCCUGCAGGAGUGGGGAGGUCUGAUGGAUGACCCAACCUCGCGCCUGCCUGUGUUUUUAGCGAGGCUGGGGUGGGAGGCGGGGGAGAGGAGCGCCGGAGCAUGCUAAGCGAGGGCUCCGCGCGGCCAGCGAGAGGGAAAAACGGCACCGGGAUCAUGUUCGCAUGUUGGCAAACCGGGAAAAAAAGAGCAGAAAUGGAAGUGCUGAUGUUUACAGCGAUUCUCUUUUUCUUUUGAUUUCAGGUGAAUAACACAAGGCUGGAAG